rnacentral:rRNA from 1 species
GACGAACGCUGGCGGCGUGCUUAACACAUGCAAGUCGAACGGAAAGGCCCUGCUUUUGUGGGGUGCUCGAGUGGCGAACGGGUGAGUAACACGUGAGUAACCUGCCCUUGACUUUGGGAUAACUUCAGGAAACUGGGGCUAAUACCGGAUAGGAGCUCCUGCUGCAUGGUGGGGGGUGGAAAGUUUCGGCGGUUGGGGAUGGACUCGCGGCUUAUCAGCUUGUUGGUGGGGUAGUGGCUUACCAAGGCUUUGACGGGUAGCCGGCCUGAGAGGGUGACCGGCCACAUUGGGACUGAGAUACGGCCCAGACUCCUACGGGAGGCAGCAGUGGGGAAUAUUGCACAAUGGGCGGAAGCCUGAUGCAGCAACGCCGCGUGCGGGAUGACGGCCUUCGGGUUGUAAACCGCUUUCGCCUGUGACGAAGCGUGGGUGACGGUAAUGGGUAAAGAAGCACCGGCUAACUACGUG